rnacentral:rRNA from 1 species
ACGAACGCUGGCGGCGUGCCUAAUCCCUGCAAGUCGCACGCUUCUUUCCUCCCGAGUGCUUGCACUCAAUUGGAAAGAGGAGUGGCGGACGGGUGAGUAACACGUGGGUAACCUACCCAUCAGAGGGGGAUAACACUUGGAAACAGGUGCUAAUACCGCAUAACAGUUUAUGCCGCAUGGCAUAAUAGUGAAAGGCGCUUUCGGGUGUCGCUGAUGGAUGGACCCGCGGUGCAUUAGCUAGUUGGUGAGGUAACGGCUCACCAAGGCCACGAUGCAUAGCCGACCUGAGAGGGUGAUCGGCCACACUGGGACUGAGACACGGCCCAGACUCCUACGGGAGGCAGCAGUAGGGAAUCUUCGGCAAUGGACGAAAGUCUGACCGAGCAACGCCGCGUGAGUGAAGAAGGUUUUCGGAUCGUAAAACUCUGUUGUUAGAGAAGAACAAGGACGUUAGUAACUGAACGUCCCCUGACGGUAUCUAACCAGAAAGCCACGGCUAACUACGUG